GUCUAUGGCAUUGCAGCUCUGAACAAGCCCAAUUCCGUCUGAUCUUGGAAGCUAAGCAGGGUUGGGCCUGGUUAGUAUUUGGAUGGGAGACCACCUAGGAAGACCAGGUGCUGUACGCA
rnacentral:rRNA from 1 species